UGUUUCAGAUGGUAAAGAAUCUGCCUGCAAAGCAGGAGACCCAGGUUCUAAUCCUGG
rnacentral:tRNA from 1 species